rnacentral:rRNA from 1 species
UACAGAGGUCCCAAGCGUUGUUCGGAUUCACUGGGCGUAAAGGGUGCGUAGGUGGUUAGGUAAGUCCGGUGUGAAAUCUCCAGGCUCAACCUGGAGUCGCCAUCCGAUACUGCCAUGGCUAGAGUCCGGUAGGGGCCCACGGAAUUCCUGGUGUAGCGGUGAAAUGCGCAGAUAUCAGGAGGAACACCGAUGGCGAAGGCAGUGGGCUGGGCCGGCACUGACGCUGAGGAGCGAAAGCGUGGGGAGCGAACAGG